AAACUCUGCUUUCUCUUCAGAUUGUAUAAACCAUUCACCUUUUACUAAAGAUUUCCAUGGAGAGGAACCGUAAUGAGGGGAUUUUUUUAGGGUUCUUUUUUUAAAAGCAU
rnacentral:snRNA from 1 species